rnacentral:ncRNA from 1 species
GGAUUAUUUAGUUCUGUUAUAUUAAAUUAACUAUUAUUUUGGUUUUUAUAUGCGAGUUUUUGCGUUAUUAAUUAUUUCUAAAUGGAAGUGAUUAUUUAUAGCAGUUUUUAAUUUUAAUAUUUAAAUUUUUUUAGAUUUAGCUAAUUAUUUAGAAGUACAAAAAGUUGUGCCAGCAUGUGCGGUUAUACUUCUACUUCAAGUUAAUUUUUUUGAUUUUUAUUAAUUGUUUUAUUUUUGAAUUUAUUAAUUUUGAUAUUAGGUGAAAUUAUUAUUUUUAUAUUUGUGUUUUGGUUUUAUGAUUAAUGUUAAAAUCAGGUGUUAAACUAGGAUUAGAUACCCUAUUAUUCUGAUUGUGUUAUAUAUAAAAUAUAUUUAAGGUCUUAUUAUUAGUAGUUUAUUUCUUUAAAUUAAAAGGACUUGGCGGUAAUUUAAUCUUUUCAGAGGAAUCUGUCCUGUAAUUGAUAAUCCACGAUAUAUUUUACUUUAAUUUAAUUUGUAUACCUCUGUCAUUGAGUGUCUUAUUAGGGUAUUCUCUUAAAUUUUGUUUAUUUUAAUAAAUGUCAAGUCAAGGUGCAGUAAUAUUAUAGUUUGAGAUGGAUUACAUUUAAUAUUUAUUAUUGGUAUUUAAAAUUUAUAUUUUAUUUUAAAUUGGAUUUGAAAGUAAAUAUUAUUAUUUUAUAAUUUUGAUUUUAGCUCUAAAUUAUGUACAUAUCGCCCGUCACUCUCAUUUAUAAAGUGAGAUAAGUCGUAACAAAGUAAUUCUAUCGGAAGAUGGAAUUAGAUUAAU